rnacentral:rRNA from 1 species
GAUGAACGCUGGCGGCGUGCCUAAUACAUGCAAGUCGAGCGAACAGACGAGGAGCUUGCUCCUCUGACGUUAGCGGCGGACGGGUGAGUAACACGUGGAUAACCUACCUAUAAGACUGGGAUAACUUCGGGAAACCGGAGCUAAUACCGGAUAAUAUAUUGAACCGCAUGGUUCAAUAGUGAAAGACGGUUUUGCUGUCACUUAUAGAUGGAUCCGCGCCGCAUUAGCUGGUUGGUAAGGUAACGGCUUACCAAGGCGACGAUGCGUAGCCGACCUGAGAGGGUGAUCGGCCACACUAGAACUGAGACACGGUCCAGACUCCUACGGGAGGCAGCAGUAGGGAAUCUUCCGCAAUGGGCGAAAGCCUGACGGAGCAACGCCGCGUGAGUGAUGAAGGUCUUCGGAUCGUAAAACUCUGUUAUUAGGGAAGAACAAAUGUGUAAGUAACUAUGCACGUCUUGACGGUACCUAAUCAGAAAGCCACGGCUAACUACGUG